AGUGAACGCUGGCGGUAGGCCUAACACAUGCAAGUCGAACGGCAGCACAGGAGAGCUUGCUCUCUGGGUGGCGAAUGGCGGACGGGUGAGGAAUACAUCGGAAUCUACCUUUUCGUGGGGGAUAACGUAGGGAAACUUACGCUAAUACCGCAUACGAUCUAUGGAUGAAAGCGGGGGAGCGUAAGGCCUCGCGCGAUUGG
rnacentral:rRNA from 1 species